rnacentral:sRNA from 12 species
GGCACCAAUUAAAUAUAUUAUUAACCCAGUGUAUAACUGCAAUAUCAUGUGGCUGGGAAUUAUCCAAUAAGUAGUCAGACAUAAGGAUACUUUUGUAAGGUUGCUUUAAAUGUAUAGUGAUAUAUGUUUAGAAGAUGUAAAAAUCAAUAAUGGAUACUGUGCAGGAAAUAUCGUUUAAUAAAGCACUAGAGUUGUCGUAGCAAUAAUAGACGGAUACGGUGUAUCAAUAAGCCUACUGCCAGUCUGUGACAAGAUAUGGUAAUGCUGAUUGUAGGUAAUGUCAAAACAAUGCUAUUCCUUGUGAAGUUGUUGAAAGAUAACUAUAAGACAUAACUAGGUUAAAGUAGCCCAAACAAGGCAAAAAAGGGAAAAUCAGUACAUAUGUAAUUUUGGAAGUAUUAAAAGAAAACAAUACAAAGAAAAAUUAUCUGAAUGAUGGGUGAAAUUUAGAAGUAGUCAAUCUUCUGUAUGCAUUGGCAUAGGGCAAGAAGUAAUGGAGUCGCUAUCCAUUGCUCAGACUUGUUCUCAUAGUGGCUGAAUAAUUAAAAAGAUAUUUUGCUGUAAGGCGAAGGUCUAAUAAUAUAUUUAAUGUUUA